AGAGUUUGAUCCUGGCUCAGAACGAACGCUGGCGGCAGGCCUCAAACAUGCAAGUCUAGGGGGUGUAGCAAUACAUCACCGGCGGACGGGUGCGUAACGCGUGGGAAUGUACCUAUUGGUUCGGAACAACUGAGGGAAACUUCAGCUAAUACCGGAUGAGCCCGAAAGGGGAAAGAUUUCUCGCCAAUAGAUCAGCCCGCGUCCGAUUAGCUAGUUGGUGGGGUUAUGGCCUACCAAGGCGACGAUCGGUAGCUGUUCUGAGAGGAAGAUCAGCCACACUGGGACUGAGACACGGCCCAGACUCCUACGGGAGGCAGCAGUUGGGAAUCUUGGACAAUGGGGGAAACCCUGAUCCAGCCAUGCCGCGUGAGUGAUGAAGGCCUUCGGGUUGUAAAACUCUUUCGACGGGGACGAUAAUGACGGUACCCGUAGAAGAAGCUCCGGCUAACUUCGUGCCAGCAGCCGCGGUAAUACGAAGGGGGCUAGCGUUGUUCGGAAUUACUGGGCGUAAAGCGCGCGCAGGCGGUCUUCCAAGUCAGUGGUGAAAGCCCGGAGCUCAACUCCGGAACUGCCAUUGAAACUGUGAGACUUGAGUACGAGAGAGGUGAGUGGAAUUCCCAGUGUAGAGGUGAAAUUCGUAGAUAUUGGGAAGAACACCGGUGGCGAAGGCGGCUCACUGGCUCGUAACUGACGCUCAGGCGCGACAGCGUGGGGAUCAAACAGGAUUAGAUACCCUAGUAGUCC
rnacentral:rRNA from 1 species